CACGGGGCCAUGCUGGGGCUCCCGCAGCAGCCAGCAGGCCAGAGGGCAGCAAGGGCAGGCGGCGGAGGGCCAGGGGCUGCCCGCAGGCCCCAGGUGCGAAGCCACCACCACCACCAAGCCGGAGCACUGCGGCCAUGCAGGCAGGUGAACACCGCCACAAACCCCGAAAGCAGAAGGCUCGCUCCGCUGGACCGCUUGAAAUCGUAAGUCAUGGGAGGAACCCUGACUCAGCCCAAAACUACGCCAAAGGGAUUCACAUGGAGGCAGAAGUAAACAAAGUUUUAGCAUCAACUUCCACCAUUCUGGACUCUGGUCAAACAGAUCUAGGUCUCUCUGCUCAGCUUAAUGAAAGCCUUCGAUGGGACGGAAUUCUUGAGGACCCUGUGGCAGAGGAAGAAAGGCUGCGAAUCUACAAGCUGAACAGGAGGAAACGGUACGGGUUGUAUAUCCAGCAACACUUCCCUGCUGAGCCAUGCCCGACUGUCGGGCAUUCCCCAUUACUUCAUGUCAGGGCGUCAUGCACGAGCAGCGAUCACACAGAAUGCGAAGAUUGCUGCAGUUAUUUUCCAGGGGAGCAAAAGUGAGCUUGUCCUGAAUACCGAACAAGCCAACAGUCUCCAAGCUGCAAUCAGAGCUGUCAAGAAAAUCUCUCAACAAGCUCUGUAGCUCGGCGUUGAUUGCUCGCUGUUUUGUGUCUGCAUGGAGAACAGAACAUUUGCAUUUUAAAAACAAACAAAGCAACCUGCUUGCUAAAAUACAGAUGCAACUCAGGCUACUCCAACAAUUCAGAAGUGCUUCUCUCUGCCUGUUUGUCUUGCAGGAUCACUCGUCAUUGCUAUUUGUUUAUGUCAAAGUAAUGCUCAUUGCCUGACACCUGAGCUUUUCAGGUAUUCAGACACAUUGUGAAAUUAACAAGCAUAGUCCUUGUGGCAGGCACAGAAAUUGAGCAUGAGCAGCUGAAUCAUCUGUUAUCUUGUAUGAAGGCUGAAAUCAUCUGCAGGUACACAAACUUACUAUUUGAAACUGAGCAAGCUGUGGAGUUUGGGAGUAGAAUCCAGCCCUUGUCUCCUGGCUUGAGGGCUAAUUCUUAAACACAGUCCUUUGUUACAGAAAUUGACUGAAAGGGCCCCCAGAUUUGAGGUUCUGAAGCAUGGCAUAUACAAGGAAAGUGGAUUAGAUCUCUAAAGAUGGGUUUAUCCUCAUCACUGCACGUAACUAGAGAACCAUCUGGCCAACAUGAAUUAAACACAUCAGGAAGUAGGCUGCCUCGUACCCACCUCCUUCCUCAUAGUAAGGCAACAGCUAUCAUACCCAGUGCUACUAUAUUAAGAUAAAUAGCCAAGAGCACACUAAAGGAGGUAUUUGGAAGUUAGAUGGCACAUAUGAAAGGUUUUCAGUUUUCUGAAGCCCUCCUAAAAGAUGCCACUCUGAUUUUUAAACCUUUUCACAAUGUCUCUUCAAAUGUGUGAUGUUUGAAUGCAAGUGAUGUUAAUAUAUUUUUUUCUGCUGUUUAAUACUUUAAACACUGCACGAUGCUCACAUGCUUUCACAGACUUUUGCAGGAGCAGGGGCAUGCUUCAGGAUAGCUUCAAAGCUCCCUAGAUCCCAAUAAUGUCAUUACAUGCAAAUCUGGAGCUUUUGCAAGCAGAUAACCAGAUGAACAAUAAAAAAUAAGCAAAAAAAAAC